rnacentral:rRNA from 1 species
AGCGAACGCUGGCGGCAGGCUUAACACAUGCAAGUCGAGCGGGCACUUCGGUGUCAGCGGCAGACGGGUGAGUAACACGUGGGAACGUACCCUUCGGUUCGGAAUAACGCUGGGAAACUAGCGCUAAUACCGGAUACGCCCUUUUGGGGAAAGGUUUACUGCCGCAGGAUCGGCCCGCGUCUGAUUAGCUAGUUGGUGGGGUAAUGGCCUACCAAGGCGACGAUCAGUGGCUGGUCUGAGAGGAUGAUCAGCCACACUGGGACUGAGACACGGCCCAGACUCCUACGGGAGGCAGCAGUGGGGAAUAUAGGACACUGGGCGCAAGCCUGAUCCAGCCAUGCCGCGUGAGUGAUGAAGGCCUUAGGGUUGUAAAGCUCUUUUGUCCGGGACGAUAAUGACGGUACCGGAAGAAUAAGCCCCGGCUAACUUCGUG